UCCUCCAUUUCUCUCAUUUCAAGGUUUCGGUUUUCCAAGGUUUCGGCCCCCUCCUUAUUUUUCUCUCAGGCGCCAGUAAGGAAACUACCAUAAGGUAUGCGUUUGAGUUGUUUUGUUAAACUAAUACCUGCAAAAUCAUGAAAAGCAUGAACGAUUUUUUGGGAGAUUUUCGGUUUUGAAAUGCUUGCGUUCUUUAUAAAUACCAUACUUUCGUGGUUUAUUUUGUCAUCGAUUUUUGAAUUGCCUUGAAAUCCUUGCUUUGAAAACCUUUCUUAUGUCCGCUACAGAGUUACAGAGUUUGUGUUAUUCCUUUCUUAUGUCCGCUACAGAGAUACAGAGUUUGUGUUAUUUCUUUCGUUAUGUCACUCUUUCUCACUCUUCGUUUUCAAGAACACGGCCCUUUCUCACUCUUGUCUCUCUCUUUCUAUCCUUCCCUAUUCUCUCUCCUCAAACCCUAAAAAUCUCCCAUCCUCUCCGUGCACACCCAAAUUGCGUGAAAUUUCUCCCUCCCGCUGUCGCACACUCAGUCGCCAGCCGCCGUACACCAUUCCAACCGAUUCCAUAAAGAAUGCUUUUCGAUGAUACACUGUUCGAAUCGGGUGAGUUUCGCUGACACAAAUAAGUAAAUUUGUUGGAAUGGCUCUCUUUCCACCAGAUGCAAUUGUGAGGGAGAUAGGCUAAAGAAUAUUGACCUUCCUACUAUUGAAAGGAAGGAAGCAGAUUGUACCUGUUCUGAUCUGUUGAUGCAGGUUAAUUACAAUAUAAUUAUAUAUAUGAACUGUAAUGUGGACACCAGAUGUUUACUACAUAAUCUAAGUACCAGAGGAGUCUUCAAGAUCAUCGUACAAGUUUUCUUCAGUAGCUACGGGAUUUAAGGUGUGAGAAUCUACAAACUUUCAUAUUGAACUGGUGACUAGGAAAUGCAUUAUAAUGAUCAAACUGUAUAGAAUAUACCGAUGUCUAAAUUAUUUCAAUAUCAUUUUUAUGUUGUUGAUUAUUAUGGGAUGGGGAGGUUACUGUCUAUUUGUAUUCCCAACAACAACUUCAAGCACUCAUGGAGACCCUCAAGUCAACAGAGCCUCAUUAUGUAUGAUGUGUGGAGAUCCAAAUUCAUUGAAUCAACCACAAAUGUUUUAGAAUGCAAGCAUCAUAUAUCAAUUACAUUGCAGGGUUAGUAGCUUAUAUAGAUCUCUUAAAUUGAAGCUGCCA